rnacentral:lncRNA from 1 species
CUGCCAUUUAUCUUCCAAGAAGCAAAGGAAUCCAUUGAUGAAGAAGAUCCUAGGCCUACAAGCUCCAAUGGAGCUUACAUUAUGUGGUAUCAAGAGCAUCUUCAUCUAGGUGAUGUUCUUUUGUUUCCUCUAUCUUUUUGUUUGGUGAAUUCUCUUUAAUUCCUUGUUCUUCAUCUUAUUCUCCAUGUAUAUCCUCCAUUUUCUUGUGGUUUGGUGCUGUUUAGAGUAGAUUAAAAAAAAAUAAACCGAUUAAAUCUUAGAUCUACACCUGUUUUUGCAUUUCUAUGGUUCAAAAUUUGUAGAUCUACUCUUGAAUCUUGUUUUUGUGUUGAUUUUAGGUUCUAUCAAUUUUCAUUCAUAAUAUUCUUGUGCUGAACCUUUAGAUCUAAAUUUUGUUCCAAAAUAUUGAUUAGAAAAAAAAAACAAAAAUCUAAGUGUAAAUCACUUAAUCCAUGUUGUCUUAGAGUCAUGUUUAGUCAUAGUAAUUGUCACAUUAUGUUCUAAGUUUGUGUCGAAUUUUAUUUUGUUGAUUGAAUUCUAGAUACAUUUGUUCAUGUAUUCUUGUCAUUCUUAGCCUAUCUUUUUAAUUUUGAGUCUAAUUCAUGCAUGUUAUUUAGUUCAUAACAUGUUCUAAAUCAAUUCCUAGAAGUAGUCCUUUUCUUGAACUUUUUUUUUGCUUUCUAAGUUUCCUACAUGAUGCCUAUGAUGAAGUUGAGUUGUGGUGCUGAGUUGUGGUUGGAUUUGUGAAUCAAAAUAAGUCUUAAGCUCUCUUUAAUUGUGUUAUUCAAGAUAAUUGAGCAUAAGCAAACACAAAUUGUAACUAUCCAAGCCUUAAGCAACAUAAACACUACUCUUGAUUUCUAGGUUGAAAUCGCUGGUGCUGGCAGCUUGAACAUACGAACUUGUAUAAAUUACUGGGAAUUGGUCACUAUGUUUUUUGAGCUGAAAGUUUUACUGAAUUUUAUAGACAUCUGGACCAAAAUUAUAAAAAAAUAACCAAGCGAUUUGAAUUAAAGGAAAAAAUAAGAAAAAUCUCACAAGUUGGCCGAAAAAUCAGUGUCCAGGGAAAAAAAAAGGAAAAGUGAAAGGAAAGUGUGCUUGUUGUUUUGGCUCAAAAUUUGUUCUAUAAUUGGUGCCUAUUUUAUACCAAUCCUAGUUCUGAAAUUUCAAUUGAAAAUUAUUGUGAAAACAAGUGCCAAAACUAGAGGUUUCUUGAGUCUUUUUUUUUAGAGUUUUUCUACUCUACUCUAGAGCCAUUCUAGGUUUCUCUUUGAGUCCUAGCUUGCUUUUUUGUGCUUUUCAUUGCUUUAAUUGUUGAAUAAUCCUUGGAAAUUUGUCUUGUUAAAACUCUAUUGGUUUAGCUUUCAUUUCAUUUUUUUUUUUGUCUUUGGUUAUUGCUUGUCUCUUUGUUUCCUUGCUUGUGAGUUGCCAUAUAGGGAAUUGGAAAGGAGGAUUGGUGCCAUAUCUUGAAGAAUUUGAGUCAAGAAGCAAGGGGCCAACCACCUUAAGAGCUAUUGGACUAAGAAGCACUCCAAAUUGAGUGAAACACUAAAGAGAGAAUAGCCACACAAUUGAGGACUUUUUUCUUUGUAAUUUUGUAAUUGGCAAUUUGCUUUGCUUUCAAAUUUUGUAACAAAAAGGCCUUUCAUUGGAAGUAAGUUGGGAGCCUCCGCUAGGUCACCCUACUUCCAUUUGUGUGUAAUAAUUUUAGGCAAUUUUCCCUUAGGAUAGUGAGUGUUUUGUUGGGAACCUUAAAUGAGGUCAUCCAAACACUCUUAGGAUCCGCCUAGUUUGCAUUUCUUGCACUUUAAUUUCUUGCUUACUUUCAUAGCUUAUUUCCUUUACCCUCCAUUGUCAAACCGCCUAGAUAGCUUUCCUUUUACCAAUUAGUUUUUACCUUAUCUUUCACACCUCUUUUAGUGUUUAUUUUGGCUAGUUUCAACCAUAGUUUAUUUUACCUUUUGUUUUCAAACCCCCAACAAGAAAGAACCAUAACUUAGGAACCAACAUGAGUCUUCAUUCUUCAUCUAGUGUUAAUGGUGAGGGUUCUACUCCUAAGGACCCCUUGUAUAAGAUAUUAGAUGAGUUGAGAUCCCUUAAGUUGUGGAAAGAAAAACAAGAGAGAAAAGAAAAAGGAAAAAAAAGAGCGAAAGAAAUAAGUCAAGAUGAAAAGGAGAAAAUAAGGGAAGAUGAAAGAAGGAAAAUACUAAAAGAGUUAAGAAAAGAAAAACAUGCCUCCUAUAGUAGUCAUAACUCUUGCAAGAGCCUAAGUGAAGAACUUCGUGACUAUUAUGAAGGAAGACAUAGGUCACAUCUUAGACCUCACUCCCAUAGGAGAGAAAAUGGAAGAAAGCCUCAAGAGGUUAACAUUAAACUCCCAUACUUCCAUGGGAAGGACAAUGUAGAGGCUAAUUUAGAUUGGGAAAUAAGGGUAGAGCAACAACUUAAAAGGAAGUCUACUUCAAAAUCUUAUGGAUCUCACUCUUAUCCAAAGAAAGACCAAGGUCAAGGAAUCUUAGGGGUGAGACCUUCUAAGCCCAAAGAUGAUAAGGGGAAGACAAUAGAAAAGCAACCCCUUAAGGCUAGUAUGCAAGAGAAGACUAGCUCCAUGAAGUGCUUUAAAUGUCUUGGAAGAGGACACAUUACUUCUCAAUGCCCCACCAAGAAAACCAUGAUUAUGAGGGGCCAAGACAUUUAUAGUAGCCAAGAUGAGGCUACUACUUCACCUUCCUCUAGUAAAAGUGAAGAAGCAAAAGGGGAAGAAUCUAGUGAAGAGAUCUACCCCCAAGAAGAAGGACAACCUUUAAUGGUUAAGGAGGAGUGUAAGGAGGUAAGUGUCUCCUCCAAGAGGUUAGCUAUGAAGGAAAGACAUUUUGAAAUAAAGACAAAUAUUAAAGAAAUUUCCCUUCUUAGACAACCUCCACAUUUUCUCCUUUGUAAAAAGACACUUGUUAGCAUUGCCACAUCUCUUAGGCUUGAGUUUAUUCCUCAAGUAAAGGAGUUGUUGGAUGAGGGUUUGGUUCGCAAGAGAUUAAAUCCUCGUGCUUUGUUGGUGCCCAAAAUAGGUAUUAUUAGGCACCAAAUCCCUAAAAUAGGUGGUGUGAUGAAUGCUUUGGGUGGUGCAACACUCUUUUGUAAAAUCACUCGUGCACCCAACAUCUUCAUGAUUUGUGUACAUUGGGACUCAUUAGGUAGGUUUGUUCUUAUUUUUAGUUUCAAUACAAACUUAGUCACUCAUAUGGGACACCUUAGGUUUGUCAUACUUUUUGGUAGGAAUAAUCAACAUGAAAAUACAGAAAAAGGUAUGUUCUAUUGCUUUACUUUUCUUAAUUUUUUAAAUUGUGAGCAAGGGGUUCCCAUGAACCCUAAGAGAAUAAAUGUCAUUCCUGAGUGGCCCGCUCCACCAAGUGUAAGAAAAAUUUGGGGCUUCCAAGACUUAACAAACUUUUACAAAAGGUUUGCCCCAUAUUACUCUAUACUUGUAGCACCACUCAUUGAGUUGGUGAGGAACCAUGUUCCUUCAUGGGAAGAUGCCCAGGAAAUGAGUUUUCAGACCUUACCUUACUUCAACAUACUAAACACCACUAAUACAUAUGUUUUUGUUCUUUUUACAGGUGUUGAGGAAAAAAGCCAAGAGUUUCAAGAACCUCGGGAUUUGAGGUCAAAUCCUUUUCAAGGGGGAGGGAAUGAUGCAAUCCUACCCCGCAAGGGCAUUGGAUAGAAAACUCCAAGUAGAUUGGGCCAAAGAUGCAAGAGAAGGCCCUAGGGUUCUUAUGAGCCUUAGGGUAGAUUUCAGGCCCAUGGGCUAAGUAUGAGCCCACUUAUCUUUGUAAAUAUUAGAUUAAGGUUUCAUUAUUUUUGGGCCUUGUAUUUAGGGCUCCAUAAUGUAGGUAGGGUACCCUAGAAAUAUAGGAUUUUUCAGCCCUUGUAUUUUAGGGCACCUAGACUAGUUUUUGUAUUAGGGG